CCCCAGUGUAAAUGUAUAGGCAGGACCCCCA
rnacentral:piRNA from 1 species